AUUAUUUUGGCAGACUUAGUGCGUUAAAUUUAGAAUUUAAUUAUAUAUAUUUAUUUAUAUAAAUAAUA
rnacentral:tRNA from 1 species